rnacentral:snoRNA from 1 species
AUGCCGUGAUGGGGGCAGCUUAGGAUGUACUCUUGUAGCCGCUCCCAUGCUUCAGGGAUCGUUUCACUGGCAUUUUGUUGAAAACCGGCAAUUCUUCCCCUCAAAGCAU